rnacentral:tRNA from 1 species
GGACAAUUUACUGAGACCCUGCCCUGCCUCAAAAUAAAAAAAAAAAAAAAUAAUAAUAAUAAUAACAUAGGGCUGGGGAAUGUAGCUCAGUAAUAGAGCACCACUGGGUUCCCUCCCCCGUGCCCCACCCCAAAAUAAAGGACCCUCAGAUCGUGACCCUCAGAAGAAAGUUUUCUGGGACUAAACUUAAAUUGAGAUACUGUUGCCUGGUCCCCUACCCCAAGCUCAACCUCUGAACCCUCCCUCUUUCUUAUAAUGACACUCCCGGGGGCACCAGAGCAGGGACACUGGCCAUCCUUGGAUCCCAGACUGCCUAACUCCUCCCCCUCUGCUCCCCCACGUCCUGCAGGUCAGCUGUGUGAGCACGUCAGCUCCAACCCCAGGGGCCUCAUGGCGGCCGAGCCACUGACUGAGCUGGAGGCGGCCAUCGAGACAGUGGUCACCACUUUCUUCACCUUUGCAGGGCGGGAAGGCCGGAAGGGCAGCCUCAGCGUCAAUGAGUUUAAGGAACUAGCCACGCAGCAGUUGCCUCACCUGCUCAAGGUGGGUGGAGGUCUCUGGGCUGGGAUUCUGUGAGGCAGCGUUGGUGGGACCCUGAGUGUGUGAGGGGAGACUGCUGAGUAGACAGUGAGCCACAGGAGGGGUGGGAGGCCAGGCAGGGGGGUGCACACCAGGUCUCAGUGAGGGGGCGGAUUCCAACUGGAGGCCAACCCAGGCAACUCAGUGAGACUUUGUCUCAAAAAAUAACAAGAGUUGAGGGUGUAGGUCAGUGGUCACGGGAUCAAUCCCCAGGACCUCAAAAACAAACAAACAAACAAACAAAAUAAAAUAAAAGGAUGUAAGUGACUGCAUGUGUACAUGGUUCUGGGUUUUCUGUCCUCUGUGUGUGUGUGUGUGAGAGAGAGAGAGAGAGAGAGAGAGAGCGAGAGAGACAGACAGACUAGGUAAGCAAAGAUACUGUGUUUGUGCAACUGGGUUCUGUACUCUCAUUAAAAGAUGCUGUUGGGUUCUUGUGUCUGUGUGGGCCUCUCUGGUCUCAUUUCCCCAGUAUAGGACUGGCCCCAGAGAUGGCUUCCAGGACAUUCACAGACCCUCAGAGCUUGAAGGAGGCCAAGAGAAAACAUAAAAACAUGGUUCAGACUCUUCACUUCACAUAUAUGGAAACUGAGGCCCAGCAGUGGGAAUGGUAUUAUUAAAAGCAAAAACAAAAUUGGGCAUGGUGGCACAUGCCUGUCAUCUCAGCAACUUGGGAGGCUGAAUCAGGAGGAUCUCAAGUUUGAGGGCAGCCUCAGCAACUUAGUGAGAUCCUGUCUCAAAAUAAAAUUUAAAAAAUGGCUGGGGGUGUAGCUCCAUGGUAGAGUACCCUGGAUUUAACCCCCAGUAAUUAACUUUCUCUCUCUCUCUCUCUCUCUCUCUCUCUCUCUCUCUCUCUGUCUCACACACACACACACACACACACACACAUGCACAUAAGAAAAUAAAGAAAACAGCCAAAUCCAUGGAGUCCUAGACUCUCAGUGUAGGAGGUCCAUAAGGAACAUUUGUGACUAUUUCCCACCAUCUCUGGGAUCCCCUCAAUAGAGCGCCUGACAGGGCCAUUCUUCUCGUCUACUGGAAAGAAUGAGUUGGGAUUUAAAUUUCAUCCACUCUGGGUUUGCCCGUCAUUCCAGGCUAACAGUUUCUUUUUCCUCCUUUCUGAAAAUUCACAGGUACUUAGCAGUGUAUGAGUAUGGAUUUUUAAAAAACAAAGCCAUCCUCUGAAACUUAAGUCUCUCAUCUGCAAAAUCCCCUGUAUCCUCUCACUUCUCAGACUUUUCCUUUCGCCUUUUUAUUGGAAAUGUCAGAUUCUCUGAUGAAGGUGUAGCAUUCCCAGAGUCUGGUUGAGCAGUAACUGAUUUUCCCUCUGACGUCCUCUGGGCCUGGGAAAGCAGGAAGUGGCCUCUUUGCUUUUCAUCUGUUUUUCUGGACCUUAGUUCCUUCUUCUGUAGACCCCCAGCUCCUUGGAAGCUGAGCUGCCUCCCUCUUCCUUCUUUGUUUCUUCUCAUGGUAAUGAGGAUUGAGCCCAGGGGCCCUUUUCUUUGGGAGGGGGUGCCAGGGAUUGAACUCAGGGGCACUCAGUUACUGGGCCACGUCUCCAGCCCUGUUCUGCAUUUUAUUUAGAGACAGGGUCUCACUGAGUUGCUUAGCGCCUCGCCAUUGCUGAAGAUGGUUUUGAACUCACGAUCCUCCUGUCUCAGCCUCCUGAGCUGCUGGGAUUAUAGGCGUGUGCCACCGCACCCGGCUCCAGUGACCCUUUUUAUUUUUUACUUUUUUUUUAAAUAUUUAUUUUUUAGUUUUUGGCGGACAUAACAUCUUUGUUUGUAUGUGGUGUUGAGGAUUGAACCCGGGCCGCACGCAUGCCAGGCGAACGCGCUACCGCUUGAGCCACAUCCCCAGCCCUUUAUUUUUUACUUUGAGACAGGAUGUUACUAAAUUGCCCAGGCUGGCCUUGAACUUGUGAUCCUCCUGCCUCAGCCUUCUGAAUAGCUGGGAUUACAGAUCUGCACACCGUGCCUGCCUUCUGCCCUCCUUACUGUACUACUUAUAUCUUUUCAGCUUCGGCUCACUGUUAUUCUUCUCAGCACUGCAUCUGUUGUUGUUGUGAUGAUGAUGAUGAUGAUGAUGAUGAUGAUGAUGAUUGGUACCUGGGACUGAACCCAGGGACACUUAACCACGGAGCCACAUUCCCAGCUUUUUUUUUUUUUUUUUUAAUAUUUUAUUUAGAGACAGAGUCUCUCACUGAGUUGCUUAGGGCCUUGCUAAGUGGUGGAGGCUGGCUUUGAGCCCUUGAUCCUCCUGUCUCAGCCUCCUGAGCUUACAAGCUUGUGCCACCAUGACCGGCAGGACCUUCAGUCUCUUGACCUUCCACUUUUUCAUUUUCUAUCAUCUCUCAUCUCUUCAUUUCUCGUCUUCCUUAGCUCAUGUUCAAGACGUUAUUAGGAUCAUACCCUCAAUCCAUUUGAUUCUCUCUCUGUCCCAGUUGUCUGGCAGAAUCCCAACCCUGAUGAAAUCCAACAUUUCCCCUACAUUAACUUGCUGGUUAAAUCACCAUCCCUGCCUACACUUGGAUAGCUGAAUCUGGCUGGAGGAAAAUGCACGGCCUCGUUGACUUGUCUUACUUUAAAUCAGUAACCACAGACUCUGAGGGACCCUUAGCAAUGCUGGCGACUCUGCUGUGUUUCCCUGAAUGAUUGUGUAUCAGCUCUUUCAGAUGAUGGUUUCAUAACUUUCCCUCCCUUCUCAAACUCCAGUGCCUCUUUCCACAUUCUCCCUCUCACUGAGAAAUUCCCUCACUAAGAAAAUAAGUCAUCAGGAAACUUCUAUGUGCUACCCUCAUCCCCAAAUCUACUGCUCGAUCAGCACACAGUCUGCUUCCUUCCUGGUCACAUAAAUGAUCAGUUUUAGCUCUUAACUGGUGCUCUGGAUCCUAUCCCCUCUCACCUACUUUAAAGACUUUCCUUUUGCAAUUCUUGCAGUGAUCUCUUCUCUUUCUUGCAUCAUUAAAAUUUCCUUCUCUACUAGGUCUUUUGUAUCAGGGGUUUUGUUGCUUGUUUAAUUUUUUUUUUUUUUUUGUACUAGGGAUUGAACCCAGGGGCACUCAACCACUGGGUCACAUCCCCCAGCCCCUUUUAAUUUUUUUAUUUUGAGACAAAGUCUGGCUAAAUUGCUUAGGGCCUCAAUAAAUUGCUGAGGCUGACUUUGAACUUGCAGUCCUCCUGCCUCAGCCUCCUGAGUGCUGGGAUUACAGGCCUGCACCACCACACCUGGCUUCCCAGCCCCUCUUUAAAAAAAACAAUUUUUUUUUUGUUUUUGGUUGUAGUUGGACAUAAUACCUUUAUUUUAUGUAUUUAUUUUUAUGUGGUACUGAGGAUCAAACCCAGUGCCUCACACGUGCUAGGCAAGCCCUCUACCACUGAGCCUCAGCCCCAGCCCUCCCCAGCCCUUUUUAUUUUUUAAAUAUUUAUUUUUUAGUUGUAGUUGGAUACCAUAUCUUUAAUUAAUUUAUUUAUUUCUAUGUGGUGCUGAGGAUCGAACCUAGGGCCUCGCCCACGGUAGGCGAGUGCUCCACCGCUGAGCCACAACCCCAGUCCCCCCGUCAUCCCUUUUUAACAUUUGUUUUGCAGUAGAGUCUCACUAAGUUGCCCAGGCUGGCCUCCAACUUGUGAUGCCCUGUGUUAGCCUCCCGAGUACCUGGGAUUACAGAUAUGUACCGCCACAGUCUCUUUACAGAUAUGCUGUAAUGUCUUCCAUCUUGGGAAAAGAAAGAAAAUUAUAAUAAUAAAGAACACCUCCCUUGACCUUGUAGCUGCUUUUAGUUAUGCUAUAUAUUUCUUCUGUACUCUAUCACAGAACUCCUCAAAAGCAAUGAGAAUGACUCAUACUUACCGUCUCCACUUUUCCUCUCCUGUUCACAGUGCUCGUCUCCCAGGUACUUGCUAGGCUUAUUCCUCAUUUAAUUCAGGUUCCUGCUUAGCUGGCAAAUCCUCAGCACAGUCUCCCUUCACCACUGAACACAAAACUCACCUCCUUUACCCUGCAGAACACAACCAAUCUGACCUCCACUAUACACUUACAUGUUUUUAAGUGUGAAAGGCUCAAGAAGGAAAGGUAUUUGCUUACCAUUUAAUCUCAGCAGUUAAACAGUAUCUGACUUCUCUAUUGGGUGCUCAAUAAAAUAUUAAGUGACGGGGCUGGGGCUGUAGCUCAAUGGUAGAGCAGUUGCCUGGCACAUGUGAGGCACUGGGUUUGAUCCUCAGCAUAACAUAAGAAUAAGUAAAUAAAAUAAAGGUAUAAAAAUAUUAACUGACAGUCUUAGUGAGUUUUAGCUACUCUAACAGAGUACUAUAAUCUGAGUGGUUGACAAACAACAAAAUUCAUUUCUCCUAGUUGUGGAGGCUGAAAGCCCAAAUCAGGGCGCCAGAGUAGUUGGGUUCAGGCGAGGGCUUCUUAAGGGUUGACAUCUUCCAGUUUUGCCCUUACCUGGGCAAAAAGCUAAAGAGCUCUCUGGGGUCUUGUUGUUGUUUUUAUUUUUUGGUACUGGGGAUUUAGCACAGGGGCACAUAACCACUGAGCUACAUCCCCAGUCCUUUUCAUUUUUGAGACAGGGUCUUGCUCAAUUGCUGAGGCUGACCUGUAACUAGCGAUCCUCCUGCCUUAGGCUCUGGAGUCACUGGGAUUAGGGGCCUGUACCACCGUGCCCACUCUGGGGUCUCUUUAAGCAAGGGCACUAAUCUAAAUCAUGAGGGAUCCACCUUCAUGACCCAAGGCUACACCUAAUACCGUCACAUUGGGGUUUGGGAUUUUGUUAUGGAUUGGAUCGGAAAUGCCCCCCCAAAGUCUCAUGUGGGGGCUUUUGGGAAGUGACUGGAUCAUGAAGGCUCUGACCCGUCAUUCAGUUAACCUAUUGAAGACAGGAUGGACUCCUGGGAGGUGGGACCUGGUUGGAGGAAGUAGGUCCCUGGGGCGGGCCCGGGAGGGUGCAUCUCUCUCUUGCCUCCCACCCCACUUUCUGGCUGCCGUGAGCUGACAGCUUUAAUACCUCUGGGCCUUGCGCCACGACGUUGCACUUGACCUGUGGCCUGAAGCAGUGGCACCAGCUGACUAUGGACUGAAAGCUCUGAAACCAGGAGCCCAAAUAACUGGUCCCCACCCCAAGUCGUUUGAGUCAGGUAAACACACAAUGAAAAGCUGACUGACAGAGAGAUCUCAACAUGGGUUUUGCAAGGACACAAAAUUCAGUCCAUGAGGGACUGGGAUGUAGCUCAGUGGCAAAGUACUUCUCUCGUAUGUGCAAAGGCCUGGGUUUGAUCUCCAGUUCUAAAAAAUAAAAAAAAUAAGAAACAAACAAAAACCCAACCAAAAAAGGACUAGGGGGCUGCGGGUAUAGCUCAGCAGUAGAGUGCUUGCCUAGUAUGCAUGAGGUCCUGGGUUCAAUCCCCAGCACCCUCCCCAAAAGCAGGGGCUGGGGAUGCUCACUGAUAAAGAACGACUGGGCUCCCUUCCCAGUACAAAAAACAAAACAAAACAAAACAAAACAAAAAAAAAAAACACUAAAAUUCAGUCCACAAGAAUGGGUGAAUAUAAUUGAAAAAAAAAUUAAAAAUGAAAAAAAUUUCCAGUGAGUGAAUGAAUACAUUUUUUUUUUUUGGUACUAGGGGUUGAACUCAGAGCCACUCAGCCACUGAGCCCUGUCCCUGGCCCUACUUUGUAUUUUAUUUAGAGACAGGGUCUCACUGAGUUGCUUAGCGCCUCACUGUUGCUGAGGCUGGCUUUGAACUUGCGAUCCUCCUAUCUCAGCCUCCUGAGCUGCUGGGAUUACAGGUGUGCGCCACUGCAUCCUACUUGAAUAAAUUCAUCUUUUAUAUAUUGUUCUACAAAUAGCUUUUUAAAAAAAAUGUAACAGUACAUAUAGGAUAUUUUCCCAUUAAAGAAAUGAUAGACUGGGUGUGGUGGCACACGCCUGUAAUCCCAGUGGCUCAGGAUGCUGAGACAGAAGGAUGGUAAGUUCACAGCCAGCCUCAGCAAAGCAACUCAGUGAGACCCUGUCUCUAAAUAAAAUACAAAAUUGGGCUAGGGAUGUGGCUCAGUGGUUGAGUUCAAUCCCUGGUACCAAAAACAGUUAAAAAAGUGUUGUGGAUCAGUCGUUAAGUGCCCCUGGUUCCAAAAAUAAAAUAAAAUAAAAAUAAAGAUUAAAAAAAUAAAAAGGGCUGAGACACAGCUCAGUGGUAGAGCACCUGUGGCUUCAAUUCCCAGUACCACAAAAAUGGGAGGGGGAGGACUUGAGUAGCUCUCCUAUAAAUUUGCUUAAGAGAUUUGGCAGAUCUUCUCUGCCUUCGUUCAAAUGUUGAUUUAAAUGUUAAGAAUCAAGGUCAACAGAGGCACCUUCUUUGGUUUAAUGUUGACCCUUUACUCAACAAUCAAGUUUUCUUUCUUUCUUUUUCUUUUUUUUUUUUUUGUGGUGCUGAGAUUGAACCCAGGGCCUUGUGCAUUUGAGGCAGGCCCUCUACCACUGAGCUAUGUCCCCAGCCCUACAAUCAAGUUUUCCAUUGUGAUUGUCUGGUAACAAAUCCUUUUAUCACGAAAGUCUGGCUUACAGUAUCCCUGGGUUCCACAGGCCCGUCCUGAGAGACUUUAUCAAGGGCCCCUCGAAAACAAGGUGCCUGUGUCUUCGCCAUUCCCCGAUCUACCGGGUACUGGCCCAGCUGGAUACAGGAGAACACAGAAGGGAGAUGCAAAUGAGCAGCUACUACUGUGAGGGAGGAGGGUGGCUGAGAAGGCCUCCGGGGAGUCAGGUUGGAUCUGCCCGUACAAAGGCUCCCUGAGUAUUAUUGGGUCCAUCCGGACUGGUGCAGUGGUGUGCUAGCGCCAGCUCUGCCUGCCGGUGAGAGCAGAUUGUGUGCGUCUCUCUCCAGCUCUGUGUUCAGUGACAUCGUAUUUGUAGUGUAUGCUGUGCCGUGAUGGGAGUAUUUAUGUCAGAGCAAACACUCAGAGCAGGCCCUUCCACCUCUGCUGGUGUCCUUGAAGUUGGGACCCCAGGGCAGCCCAGUCCAGGCCUGCAGCCUUUUCCUUGAGGUACGGGGCGGGGUUGGUGCUCUCUGAGGGGAGGGCUGUCAGAGGACGGUAAGCUAGAAAGUCUCCCCUCUUCCUGUCUCAAGAUCCCCCCCAUCUAACCUGCCCUUCCCUUUUAGGAUGUGGGCUCCCUAGAUGAGAAGAUGAAGAGCUUGGAUGUGAAUCAGGACUCGGAGCUCAAGUUCAAUGAGUACUGGAGACUGAUUGGGGAGUUGGCCAAGGAAAUCAGGAAGGAGAAGGCGCAGGAGAUCCGGAAGAAGUAGAGCUGCUGGCCGGGAUGGCGGUGGGGAGAGUAGGCCUGGCAGGGCCAGGAGAACCCCUCACUCCCCAAAUAAACCUUCUCCCUCGAAACACACAGGUUUCUUUCUUUUUUCAAAAUAUUUUCUAG